rnacentral:pre_miRNA from 1 species
AAACUACUCCCUCUGUUCGGAAUUACUUGUCACAAAAAUGGAUGUAUCUACAACUAAAAUACAUGUAGAUACAUCCAUUUCUUCGACGAGUAAUUCCGAACGGAGGGAGUAAUCU